rnacentral:lncRNA from 1 species
UUAUCUUUUUUUCCUUAUCCUUCAUCUCUCGUAUAUAACACACAUAUAGACGAACAACGAGAAGAAAAAAUACGCAAAACUCUGGGGAGGUGAACACACACUAAAAAGCAGAGAACGACCCUCCUCUCUCAUUUUCUUCAUCUUCAACGUAAGCCAAAAAAGGACUCAAAAUGAUAACACCUUCUCCCCGAGCUUCUUCUACUCUAUAGCGAUAUCCCAUGAGCUUUUUUCUCUGUAUGAAAACCAGCUCUUUUAACCUCCAAACCGAUUACCUAAAAACUCCCCAUUACAAUCCAAAUUUCAACUCCAAAACGCUAGGAAAAGUAGUUGCAAAACAGCUUAAAAAAUACCUCAAAUUCAGAUUGAAAUUUAGCUCCAAAAGCAUAAAAAUCAACUGUAAAACUCAGCUCAAAACCAGCCCCGGACCGUCCUAAAAUCACCUAAAACAUUCAAUCCGUCGAGGUCCUCGAGGUCACCAUUCGAGUGCGCCUGUCGCGGGUCUUGUUCGGUCUGUUGUAGAGUUUGCUUCAGGUGUCUUCAAAUGCUUACUUUUAAUAAAGGUUCAGAAGUAAUUUUGGCUAUAGAUGGUUCCAUUUCUCACUUUUAAUUUCAUGUUGUUUCAGUAUUCUUUAUGUUUACAUGUGACUGUGGAUUUAUUUAUCUAUAUUAUGAUGUAGCUGGAAAUUUUUCUUUUAUGUUGAGAAUUUAAAUGAUGUUAAUUGGAUUUUGGGUUUGAUCGUUGAAGUAAUUUCGAGUGUUCAAAUGUAUUUGGUCUGCUUUUUUUUUUGUCAGCUACACAAAUAUUCUCUGUUCAUUUAAUUCUUCUCCUUAUUUUUAAUUUCUAAUGUUCUUCAAUUCUAUUGGGAUCAGUUCCUUUAUUAGUACUAUUUUAUUUAAUAUUUUUUCAUGAGUACUUUAUAUGUGAAUUAAAAUUAUGAAUUUCACUCCUUUUGUUUGAGUAGAAAAAGUUUCUAAGUGUUAUUUAUGUGCAUAACUGAAGUACUGACAUUCAAUAUGUGUUGUUAAUCUAUUUUUCUUAAUUCUGGGUUCUCGUUGAUUUUUGUAAUCAUUUUAGUUUGUAGAUGUGAUAUUGACAACUCACUCUAUGGAUUGAAAUUUUUGAUUGGGGUAUCCCUGUUCUUGUAGGUUAUAUGCUUAGUUUUGCAAAUCUGGAUUUGCUUGCACACAAAAUAAGAAGGCAAGUGGUAUUGAUCAAACCUAUCUACUUUACGCGCAAUAUUUUCCAAAAUUAACAAGAUAUAAGCUUUUUAAUGUUGAUGGCAAGAACUUUUCCGUAGUUGGAUUCCUCUUUAAAAGUGUCUCUUUAUGCUAUUUUUAUUUUGAAGUUAGGCAUAAUUAACAGAUAAACUGUUCCGACUACGGGUACGGUUCCCGUGAC